rnacentral:rRNA from 1 species
GAUGAACGCUGGCGGCGUGCCUAAUACAUGCAAGUCGAGCGAAUGGAAUAAGAGCUUGCUCUUAUGAAGUUAGCGGCGGACGGGUGAGUAACACGUGGGUAACCUGCCCAUAAGACUGGGAUAACUCCGGGAAACCGGGGCUAAUACCGGAUAACAUUUUGAACCGCAUGGUUCGAAAUUGAAAGGCGGCUUCGGCUGUCACUUAUGGAUGGACCCGCGUCGCAUUAGCUAGUUGGUGAGGUAACGGCUCACCAAGGCAACGAUGCGUAGCCCACCUGAGAGGGUGAUCGGCCACACUGGGAGUGGGACACGGCCCAGACUCCUACGGGAGGCAGCAGUAGGGAAUCUUCCGCAAUGGACGAAAGUCUGACGGAGCAACGCCGCGUGAGUGAUGAAGGCUUUCGGGUCGUAAAACUCUGUUGUUAGGGAAGAACAAGUGCUAGUUGAAUAAGCUGGCACCUUGACGGUACCUAACCAGAAAGCCACGGCUAACUACGUGCCAGCAGCCGCUGUAA